GGAAGGAGCCGGGGGGAAACCUCAGAGUGACACCUCCACAUGCCACCACCCCAUCAGCCUCGGCUCCAAAGACACAUGCAGAAUGGAGGUCUUCAGCGCCAAGAAGACACCUCCAUUUGUGUUGGGAGGACGAGAGAAGAGGGAAGGGAGGGAUGGGAUUAGAGAGAAGAGAAGGAAAGGAAAGCGAGUUAUCGUGUAUUUUUGGAAUAUGACGGGAUAUGAAACACGGCGAUGUGUUUAUAUAAUUUCUGUACAAUCAGUUCUCUCUAGAGGAAAUAAAUGAAUAUUUUAUCAAGGCAUCGCCCUCUCUUCUCCUCUCUCUGUCAUGCUGUUCUUAUUUCAUUAUAUUUGAUCAGGAAAAGCCGCUCCAACAAGAAGAACAAAAAAAAAAAAAAAAA